UAGUGGUUGAGAAUCAGGAUAUUAAUCCUCUAAGUUCUCAGUGUUGGUGUAUUCACUGGAAACAUCAGCAGGCUUCCAGAGGUGCAGAUAUUCAAGUGAAAAUUCCACUUCCCUGGAUGCUGUGGCAUGCUCAGCCAGUGAGUCACAACACCCCAGGGUAGUUGUUGAACACUACAGGAGUGGGGCCUACAGACCCUUUCAGCAGCAAAUGGUUCUAUGAAGACAGAUCUCCACUCCUUCAGCACCCCAUAAAGAACUGUGGAAAAUGAGGCAGGAGACUGGGGAGUAGCAGGCUGACUGGGGAAGUAGGCAUGAGGUGUUAAUUACAAAAUCCCAGGACACGUGGAGAAAGAACAGUUCCCAAAGGCCUGCGUGUGGACUUCUCAGGAGAACUCGAGCAGUUUUGGAUAGGACAGCCCAGAC
rnacentral:lncRNA from 1 species